UCUCAAAAUGAAGGUAGUCCUCGUAUUUCUGGUGGUAGCCGCUGUAGCCUCAGCCCAACACUACAUGAGCUCCCACCACUCCUCAGGCGUCAGAAUGGGACAUGUUGCAGCUCACCAAAUGGGACACAACAGCGGACAUUUGAGAAGCGGGCAUGGACUGCAGCUUGGACAUUCUUCUGGAAUUCGCAGCUCUCAUCAUGGAAACUUGGGACAUUCUUCGAGCCACUCUCGAUUGGUCCGUAGUCCUCAACAUCAUGGUUCACACUCUUCACACAUGGGAGGCAUGGCCGGACGCUCACAUGGCUCUGCUCAUUCAGGAAGCAUGGCUGGACGAUCUCGCGCUUCUGGUCACGCUACAGGGAUGUCUGGACAUCGUUCUAUGCACAGUGGUGCCACGCAUCAUGGUUGAAUUCGAGUUUUGUAGUAAAAUAAAUUCUGUUGCGUUGAAGAA